AGCGAACGCUGGCGGCAGGCCUAACACAUGCAAGUCGAACGAUCCUUCGGGAUAGUGGCGGACGGGUGAGUAACACGUGGGAACGUGCCUUUUGGUUCGGAACAACUCAGGGAAACUUGAGCUAAUACCGAAUGUGCCCUUCGGGGAAAGGAUUUAUCGCCAUUAGAGCGGCCCGCGUCUGAUUAGCUAGUUGGUGAGGUAAAGGCUCACCAAGGCUACGAUCAGUAGCUGGUCNGAGAGGAUGAUCAGCCACAUUGGGACUGAGACACGGCCCAAACUCCUACGGGAGGCAGCAGUGGGGAAUCUUGCGCAAUGGGCGAAAGCCUGACGCAGCCAUGCCGCGUGAAUGAUGAAGGUCUUAGGAUUUGUAAAAUUCUUUCGACCGGGGACGAUAAUGACGGUACCGGAGAAGAAG
rnacentral:rRNA from 1 species